AAAAAUGCCUUAAUGCAUUGACCACGUGAUUGGCCAACUUGCUAUUUUGGUUCACAUGCAACUGAAAAGGUGCACCUAAUAAAGAGGCAACAGGAAUCUCAUCGUGGGCUUUUACCGAUUCUGCGCCAGGAAGGAAUUUGAAGAGAAGAACUCGGCAUUCGGAUGGAGUUAGCAUGUUGUUUCUGUUUUGUGUUACAUCUGCGGUCUGAUCCAGGACUGAGGGUUCAUUGUAAAUUGGAGCUCUAAGCCGACGACAGAGUGGUGGACUGCAAGAUUCAUGUCUCUUGGAUAACGUAGAGGUGAUUCAAGCCCGGAAAUGUAUCGUCAUGGUUCAGAUGAUCUCUCUGCGAUCCUAACCAUUGACCCAGAAGAACGCAACACUGAAAAACACCAGGGCUGCUCUAGUCAAGAGGAUGAAACCGUUCCAUCAGCGAGUGGCGCCUCUGCUGUCACUGGCAUCAGACAGCUCUCGAGAAGGCCGUAAUUAAACAACUCGAGCUCUGGGAUCUCAACAGAGCCCCGCUGAAUCACUGGUACACCAGAGAACCACCAUGGUAUGUGUGGUAGUGGCUCCAACAUCACAGCUAAGCUGUGAAAACCUCCUGACCACCACCACCCCCCCCCCUGACAUCUGGUUGGCAUCGCUCGACGCCCUCAUCAAUACGGCGCUCAUCAUCAUCAUUAUCAGACAGGAGAUUCGUCAUGAAACACUUUGUGAAGUUUGUUUGCCUCUGAACCCACUCUCCCAUGGACACAGACCCGCCCACACACAGUGAAACAUACACAUGCAUAUUCUAGAAAGCCACAACUCUCUCAACUGCGGGGGAGCCGGGGAGAAUGUUAGAAACACUGCGGUACUUGGGGUAGGCUUGCAUUCUAAAUUACUAACUCGUAUUUAAAUAUCCCAAUAAAACUCUGGGAUUCGGCAGAGUCAAUUUUGCCUCAGUGGGAAACGUCCCUGGAUUACUUGUGGAGUUAUGCUUUCCUUACACUUAAAAACAUUUUGAAUUCCUCUUUCCGGCUUUUUUUGUUUUGGACAAUUUUUUUUUCUGUGGUUCUGAUGUGUUGGUUGUUGAUUAGUUAGGUUAGGAAGAUCAAGAACAUUCCAGAAACCACCACAGCUCAGGGCGGCCAUAACUGCAAAAUACUAGAACGUGACGUCUAUUUUGGGGUUGAAUAAUGAAGAACAAACAUACACUUUUUCAAAAAGAGGAAGGACGUAUUUUCCUAUGUGGGAUACUGACAUUUGUGGAAAAAGAUGUUAAGAAUAGCUCAUCGUUUGCAACCCUAAUGACAAGAAAAAUACACCCGUACAAUGUUAUUGAUACUUUGUGUCACAGCGUCGUUGAAAUUCAAUACAAUUAUUCCACAUUGAACAUUCUGCUAAAAACCUGCAUUUUUAAGAAUUGUGUCAAUAUCCCAUUACAUUAGUUGGGUUUUUUUAUUGCUUUUGUCAAAGUUGAGAGCCGUUGUGGAAGGUCCAGACUGCAACUUGCAACCAUUACAACUUUUUACUAGGCACUCUUUGUUCUGAAUGGACAAUAAUCCCAAAAACACAUUGAAAUUCUUUCUCAAUGAGGACAGCUUUAAGGUUUCAAAUUAUAUUGAUGCCGUGGUUUACAUUUUCUGCAUCUUGAGUAACAGUGCCGAGGUUAUCUGAGCAACUCCAUCUCCUUUACGUCCCUUUUGAUCCCUGCAGAGAUCUCUCAAGCACAUUAGUGGCCAGGGCUAACGUGUUGCAGGCCAGAGGCAAACUGGUCGAGAAGUGAGUUACAGUGUGACGGUCAGUGAGAUUUAAAGACCAAAUCAAAUACAGACGUGGUUUUAGUCUAACCUGAACUGAACGUUGCGGUUUCUGGAUUGCGAAAUAAAGUCUUUGGUACGUCGAUGAGUCUGUGAAGGAGCGAGUGGCAAAUGCAACGGUUGCAGGGCAAGUGUUUUUAUGCAGAUAAAUGGAAAUUUGAUCAAAUUUUUCCAAAAUCGCUCUUUUGUGUUUUUGCUUGAAUUUCAAGCUGCCUUUGAACUAUUUAAUAUGUGGCAAACGUUAUAUGAAUAUUUAUGUAAAGCUGGCUUCAGGCAAUGACAUAGCCAUAUUUUCCAUUGCUCACAAGGCAUGUAAACAAGAACAAUGGCCACAAAAUUAAUCAAAUGACAUCAAACAGAUCUACAGACUCUCUUAUAAGCUUCUCUUAUACAAGAAAGCGUGUUACAGAAGUUCUUUCUCGGCAUAUUAUUCCACAGGCGCCCCAGCACUCAAUCAUCACGACCGAAGCCAUGCCCCAGCACAUAUUGAAUACAGGUGCAGGUACCAGGAACUGAAGAAUGUUUUAAAAUGCAAAAAAAAAAAAAAAAAAAAGUAAAUAUCAUAACUC